UCCUCGAUAGUAUAGUGGUGAGUAUACAAGCCUGUCACGCUUGGGACCCGGGUUCAAUUCCCGGUCGGGGAG